GACGAACGCUGGCGGCGUGCUUAACACAUGCAAGUCGAACGGAAAGGCCCUGCUUUUGUGGGGUGCUCGAGUGGCGAACGGGUGAGUAACACGUGAGUAACCUGCCCUUGACUUAGGGAUAACUUCAGGAAACUGGGGCUAAUACCGGAUAGGAGCUCCUGCUGCAUGGUGGGGGUUGGAAAGUUUCGGCGGUUGGGGAUGGACUAGCGGCUUAUCCGCUUGUUGGUGGGGUAGUGGCUUACCAAGGCUUUGACGGGUAGCCGGCCUGAGAGGGUGACCGGCCACAUUGGGACUGAGAGACGGACCAGACUCCUACGGGAGGCAGCAGUGGGGAAUAUUGCACAAUGGGCGGAAGCCUGAUGCAGCAACGCCGCGUGCGGGAUGACGGCCUUCGGGUUGUAAACCGCUUUCGCCUGUGACGAAGCGUGAGUGACGGUAAUGGGUAAAGAAGCACCGGCUAACUACGUG
rnacentral:rRNA from 1 species